UUAGGAAUAUUCGUCAAUGGGGGAAACCCUGAACGAGCAAUGCCGCGUGAACGAUGACGGCCCUUCGGGUUGUAAAGUUCUGUUGUUUGGAAAGAAUCUCAUGUAUAGGAAAUGAUACAUGACUGACGGUACCAUUCAAGAAAGCCACGGCUAACUACGUGCCAGCAGCCGCGGUAAUACGUAGGUGGCGAGCGUUAUCCGGAUUUAUUGGGCGUAAAGCGUCCGCAGCCGGUUUAUUAAGUCUGAGAUUAAAGCCCGAAGCUUAACUUCGGUUCGUUUCAGAAACUGGUAGACUUGAGUGUG
rnacentral:rRNA from 1 species